rnacentral:lncRNA from 1 species
UUUCCCACUGCUGGAGAAAAGAUGCGAAGGUUUGUGCCUUGGCCAGAACGGCUAAGUAGGUACUGAGCUCAAAUACAUACAGCAGUUGUCUGAUAUCAGGAUAGAGGCCCCACUUGAACUUUUUUUCCUUCCUGCCUUCAUUUAUCAUGCUCUCAGGGGAAUACCAGCCCAACUUUAGGAACCUCUGGGCAUACUCCGACAUAGUCAUAUCACCCUGUACUGGGUGUGCAAACUCUAUUUUCUUCAAAUAUUAGAGGUGCUCUCGGAGGUCCUCUGCAUUGAAGGCCAUCAGGAACUGUUCCCAAGUGACUAGAACGGGAAGGGUGGUCUGCUUGAGUUGCUACCAGCAGCCUGCCUCUCCCACAAGUAUAUAGGUAGUAAGUACAACUUUCUGUUCGGAAACCACUUCAAGAGUCGCGAAAGCCUUCUCUAUCUCAGCUAACCAAUACUCGGUCUCUUUGAAAGAAAAUACCCCUGUAAAAGUAGAU